GUAACAAUGGUAUUCGAGCAAUCAUCCUCUUGACUUGUGGGUGGGUUUGGCAGCAAUAAUAUCAUUACAAUCGUGAGUAAUCCCUGGAAUUAGGGCUACAAAAUCAACGGUCUUGAUUUGGUUUCUAGAAUUGGGCUUUGUAGAAGAAAUUUACUGGAAUCAACGGUUCGGUUCGAUUCGACAAACAACAAAUCCAAUUCCGAAUCAAUUUUAUUCAAGAACUGCACCAUUUGAAGUAUAAAUCAUUUCUGGGUUUCAAGUUCAGCAACAAAUCAACAUGGAAUUCGCAUUGGAGAAGAUUAUGGCAAUUAGCCAAGAAGCCAUGGCACUUGUCAAGACGGAUGUUGGUGAUAAUAUAACAGUAAGCACUCUUCCUUUCCCUUCAUUUUGAUGCUUGCAAGGGUCAAAGUCUCAGUGCACUUAACACGACAGCCCCUGCAUGCAAGAAUGAUUUCUGCUUCAAUAGAAAAUGGGGGUUUCUUCACUCCCUAUUGAUCCAGCUACUGCCUAGAAAGCUCGUUAAACUACACCAAGACACGAGGGAAGGUGUUGUUAAGCAGACACGCAGAGCGUUCAUCCGAGUCAAAGGUGGCUAAAAGUCAAAUAGUCAAAGCAGCCAGUGGAGAAGGGAUGAUCCUUGUAGAUGAAGGCGUCGACGUUGCAAUCCCGUUUGUGAUCCCAGCUGCUAUCGUCGGGAGAAAAGUAGGAAAAGGAUUUUAUCGUACAUUAACAGCACAAGGAAGCCAACAUCGCCGAUUCACUCAUCGGAGGCUGUUAUUAGGAUUGUACCGCAUUUGAUGUUGGUGGCGAAGACUUCUAAAAACCGCUCCUGAGGCGAUCUCCAUCUUCACCGAUCGCUGUUGCCGGAAUUCUCUUACUGAAGUAGUGAAAGAAACAUAAAUGUCUGAUGGUGGUGAUAGCGGAUCAAGGAUCAGGCACGAUGGUGAUUGGGUAACUUGGUGAAACAACAUCAGAUGAAACAUGCUCAUCUUUGACACUUUUUGUUCAAGCAAAUGCUUAAAGUGGCUGAUCUUUUCAUUCAGGGCAACUGAUAAAUAACUUUCUCAACAACAAUGCGAGUCAUUUGAUUGUGUAUGGGGAUCGCGAACUUUGUGUGUUAUUUCGCAAUGAUCACUUCAGUACGAUGUUCAAGGUAAAAGGGAACAAUGGUGUACGUUUGUUUUACGGAGGACAAGACUUUGAUAAUGCCAUGUUGGAUCACUUGGUUAGAGAGUUUUAAGAAAACAAAGGGAAUAGACUUGACAAAAGACAAGCUUGCCUCUAGAGGCUUAGGAAGCUAUCAAGAAUGCUAAAAUUGAGCUGUCAUCAACAACCUAGACUGAUAAUAACUUGCCAUGUAUCUGGUGCUAAACAUUUGAAUCUCACUCUCACAAGGUCGAAAUUUGCGGCUGCCAACAGCCAGACUCAAGUGUGCAUUAAAGUUGUAAUUCAUAAAAAUAAGUCAAGCAGCUUUUCAUAUAUUAAUAGUGUUUAGAAAUAAAUACAAUUUUUAAGGA
rnacentral:lncRNA from 1 species